rnacentral:rRNA from 1 species
UCCUACGGGAGGCAGCAGUGGGGAAUAUUGCGCAAUGGGGGAAACCCUGACGCAGCAACGCCGCGUGAGUGAUGAAGGUUUUCGGAUCGUAAAACUCUGUCUUUAGGGACGAUAAUGACGGUACCUAAGGAGGAAGCCACGGCUAACUACGUGCCAGCAGCCGCGGUAAUACGUAGGUGGCAAGCGUUGUCCGGAUUUACUGGGCGUAAAGAGUAUGUAGGUGGGUGCUUAAGUCAGAUGUGAAAUUCCCGGGCUUAACCUGGGCGCUGCAUUUGAAACUGGGCAUCUAGAGUGCAGGAGAGGAAAGUGGAAUUCCUAGUGUAGCGGUGAAAUGCGUAGAGAUUAGGAAGAACACCAGUGGCGAAGGCGACUUUCUGGACUGUAACUGACACUGAGAUACGAAAGCGUGGGUAUCAAACAGGAUUAGAUACCCUGGUAGUCC